AACGCACCUUGCGCUCCUUGGUAUUCCGAGGAGCAUGCCUGUUUGAGUGUCAUUAAUUUCUCAACCUCACCAGCUUUUGCUGAGUGUAGGCUUGGAUGUGGGGGUUGCAGGUCCGCUAACGUGGUCUGCUCCUCUGAAAUGUAUUAGUGGGUUGGGCCCCUAAUCUAUUGGUGUGAUAAUUAUCUACGCCGUGGAUUUGGGUGGCUGGAUUAGACCCGCUUCUAACCGUCCUUCACCGGACAACUCUUGACAAUUUUGACCUCAAAUCAGGUAAGACUACCCGCUGAACUUAA
rnacentral:misc_RNA from 1 species